rnacentral:rRNA from 1 species
GACGAACGCUGGCGGCGUGCUUAACACAUGCAAGUCGAACGGUAAGGCCCUUCGGGGUACACGAGUGGCGAACGGGUGAGUAACACGUGGGUGAUCUGCCCUGCACUUCGGGAUAAGCCUGGGAAACUGGGUCUAAUACCGGAUAGGACCAUGCGCUUCACGGUGUGUGGUGGAAAGCUUUUGCGGUGUGGGAUGGGCCCGCGGCCUAUCAGCUUGUUGGUGGGGUAAUGGCCUACCAAGGCGACGACGGGUAGCCGGCCUGAGAGGGCGACCGGCCACACUGGGACUGAGACACGGCCCAGACUCCUACGGGAGGCAGCAGUGGGGAAUAUUGCGCAAUGGGCGAAAGCCUGACGCAGCAACGCCGCGUGCGGGAUGACGGCCUUCGGGUUGUAAACCGCUUUUGUCCCGAUAGACAUAUCGGGAAGAAUAAGCACCCGCUAACUACGUGCCAGCCGCCGCAGUAA